GCUCCCGUAGCUCAGUAUGGAUAGAGCAAUGGUUUCCUAAACCGUGAGCGCAGGUUCGAAUCCUGCCGGGGGCG
rnacentral:tRNA from 1 species